rnacentral:lncRNA from 1 species
GUGCCUUUUAUUACGUGACACAAAUUUAAUAAGUGAUAAUAUAACUAUCAGGGUAACAAUUACAGAGCCACUUUACUGGAAGAAACAGAACUUGGAACUCACAUGAACCUACAAGGCCCCAAGAUUGCAUCCAGAACCUCUUGCUUCCUCCAGCAUUCUCCUCUUCAGAUUGCCUGCGCUAUACUUCAUUAAACCUCUAUGCUAUGGCUCUGGCUGCAGUCGGGAAGCAUUGUGAGGGCCCUGCCAUCAGAAAUGGUUCUGCCUGCUGCACUGAACUCUGAUAUACAGGUCUUUACCUGUCAAGAUCCCGAUUAAACACAUAUACGCUGAUGGCAAGUAUCGAACGGUGCGGUGGCCUUUGAGAAGCUUCCACAUCCCAAAGAUUGACACUGGGCUGAUCCUGAAGCUCUGAGGACUUCAGAAAACCGAUGGAUUCUUGUUUGGCUGAGCUAUUGAAUGGGGA